GGAGGUAGUGACAAUAAAUCACAAUGCGGAACUUUUAGUUUUGCAAUUGGAUUGAGAACAAUGUACAAAUGUUAUCGAUAAACAAUUGGAGGGCAAGUCUGGUGCCAGCAGCCGCGGUAAUUCCAGCUCCAAUAGCGUAUAUUAACGUUGUUGCAGUUAAAAAGCUCGUAGUUGAAAUGUGGGAUGAAGUAUAUAAUGAAUUUCUAAUUCAAUUGUAUAUUGAUUCCCCUCUCCAAUUUAUUAUUAUGGGUAUUAAUUUAUUUGUAAUAAGAAUUGGUCAUUUACUGUGAGAAAAUUAGAGUGUUCAAAGCAGGCAUUUGCUUGAAUAGAUUAGCAUGGAAUAAUACUAAAAGGCUUUUAUGGUCGAUUUAAUUUGUUUGUUCAUAAAAGCAAGAUUAAAAGGAACAGUUGGGGGUAUUCAUAUUCAAUAGUUAGAGGUGAAAUUCUCGGAUUUAUGGAAGAUGAACAAGUGCGAAAGCA
rnacentral:rRNA from 1 species